rnacentral:lncRNA from 1 species
GACAGCAGAGGGAGCCCCUGCAUGACUUAAGAAAACCGAAGGCAGGCAGAACAGAGACUUUUCAGGGUGCGAAGUUACGCAUGGUGCCCUCUACUGGAGUCACUGGUAAAGAGUUUUGAUUUCAAAAAGAAAUUGACGUAGAAUUUGUUCUUGUUCCAUUGUAUUGGUGAAGAAACUGAAGUUCAAAGUAAUUGGCAGAACAUACUACUUUGGGCAGUAUGGGAGUAGAGGCCUAUGGACGACCAGCAACAGGCUAGGGAUAAGAGUGGAGAUCUGAAUACAAGAAACUAGUAUUCAGGAUACGGGUCCUGGUUGUGAUUCUCUCCUAAUCCUUCGUGUGACUGGAGUUAUGUCGUGUGACUCUCAUAAACAAUGGGUUUUCCUUCUUUGUACGUAAUAGUUGGCAGAAGUGGUUACGUCCUUGCCACAAGGAAAAAGUCUCAUGAGAUGAUUAAUCUAAAACUUAUUUUAGAAAUAUAAAGGACUUUAUGAAUUCAAGGCAGUAUAUUAAGAAAAUAUCCCCUCAAACAAUGAACCAAUGAGACUGGCAAAGAUCUUGAUUUUCCUGAUUUUCAUUUAGAUUCUUAACAUUUGAGUCCAUUGAUAUAUUCGAAGCUCUACCCUUCUGGAAAAUAUCAUAAGAUUUGAAAAAUAUAGCUGCAAAGAGCAAAAGAAGAUUUGCGUCUCAAUAGAAAAGAUCUACAGAUUGAAUAUUGCAUAGAAAACAAUUUAUUCACCUUACAAAGAUAAAAGGAUGAAAACGCCCUGAGCAGUAAUAAAACUUCGCCAUUUUGGGGAGGGCCUCAAGAGGCUAUCUUAUCAAUCUUGGUCGUUGGAAAAGUAUCUGUAAUCUCAAAGAAAACUUUAAAUACUGUCCAAGGAAAAUAUCCAAAUACAUCUUAAAAUG